GACCUGGUGGUGAAAUGUAUCACACCCGUUUGCCUUGUCGGAUUGCUGAUCAUUGUAUUUACGGGAGGUCCCUGGUUCGAAUCCAGGUCAGGUCC